rnacentral:rRNA from 2 species
UCUGGUGUCAGCCGCCGCGGUAAAACCAGCACCUCGAGUGGUCAGGAGGUUUAUUGGGCCUAAAGCAUCCGUAGCCGGUUGUUUAAGUUUUCGGUUAAAUCUAUGCGCUUAACGUAUAGGCUGCCGAAAAUACUGGACAGCUAGGGAGUGGGAGAGGUACACGGUACUCAAUAGGAAGGGGUAAAAUCCUUUGAUCUGUUGAUGACCACCUGUGGCGAAGGCGGUGUACCAGAACACGUUCGACGGUGAGGGAUGAAAGCUGGGGGAGCAAACCGGAUUAGAUACCCGGGUAGUCCCAGCUGUAAACGAUGCAAACUCGGUGAUGCAUUGGCUUGUGGCCAAUGCAGUGCCGCAGGGAAGCCGUUAAGUUUGCCGCCUGGGAAGUACGGACGCAAGUCUGAAACUUAAAGGAAUUGGCGGGGGAGCACCACAAGGGGUGAAGCCUGCGGUUCAAUUGGAGUCAACGCCAGGAAUCUUACCCGGGGAGACAGCAGAAUGAAGGUCAAGCUGAAGACUUUACCAGACAAGCU